UACGUAGGGUCCGAGCGUUGUCCGGAAUUACUGGGCGUAAAGAGCUCGUAGGUGGUUUGUCGCGUUGUUCGUGAAAACUCACAGCUUAACUGUGGGCGUGCGGGCGAUACGGGCAGACUUGAGUACUGCAGGGGAGACUGGAAUUCCUGGUGUAGCGGUGGAAUGCGCAGAUAUCAAGAGGAACACCAGUGGCGAAGGCGAGUCCCUGGACAACUUCUGACGCUGAGGCACGAAAGCGUGGGGAGCAAACAGG
rnacentral:rRNA from 1 species